rnacentral:rRNA from 1 species
UAGGGAAUCUUCCACAAUGGACGCAAGCCUGAUGGAGCAACGCCGCGUGAGUGAAGAAGGCUUUCGGAUCGUAAAGCUCUGUUGUCGGUGAAGAAGGAUAGAGGCAGUAACUGGUCUUUAUUUGACGGUAAUCAACCAGAAAGUCACGGCUAACUACGUGCCAGCAGCCGCGGUAAUACGUAGGUGGCAAGCGUUGUCCGGAUUUAUUGGGCGUAAAGCGAGCGCAGGCGGAAUGAUAAGUCUGAUGUGAAAGCCCACGGCUCAACCGUAGAACUGCAUCGGAAACUGUCAUUCUUGAGUGCAGAAGAGGAGAGUGGAAGUCCAUGUGUAGCGGUGGAAUGCGUAGAUAUAUGGAAGAACACCGGUGGCGAAGGCGGCUUUCUGGUCUGCAACUGACGCUGAGGCUCGAAAGCAUGGGUAGCGAACAGG